CACCUUCAAAAAAGCGUCAAAGCUUAGAUACACAUACCUUAAUUUAUUUAUCCAUAUUGAACCCUUUAAUUGUACUGAGAACUUCUAUACUAUAUAGAAUUUUUUAUGCUAAAACUAGUAACAAGAGAUACCCCUCUCCCUAGUGUAAAUGUAAGUCAGCAAGAACCCAUCACUGACAACUAACAGAUUUAAACAAAAGUAGUAACUCCACAAGAAAACCCCACUUUUUCUCCUGUUAACCUAACACAAGAACACUUCAAGAAAGAUUAAAAGAAAAAGAAGGAACUCGGCAAAACCUAGCCCCGCCUGUUUACCAAAAACAUCGCCUCUUGAUUACCUCUAUAAGAGGUCUUGCCUGCCCAGUGACUCUGUUCAACGGCCGCGGUACCCUAACCGUGCGAAGGUAGCGUAAUCACUUGUUUUCUAAAUAAAGACCAGUAUGAAAGGCGUCACGAGGGUUAAACUGUCUCCUCUUUCUAAUCAGUGAACCUAAUCUUCCCGUGAAGAAGCGGGAAUUACCCCAUAAGACGAGAAGACCCUGUGGAGCUUAAAACAUCAUAACACUGCUAACAAAUACCAAUAUUCAGAUACCCCCUCCCUCAAAGCACGAUGAUUAUAAGUUUUUGGUUGGGGUGACCGCGGAGAAAAAUUAAACCUCCACUAUGAAAAGAGCCCUCCUUAACAAUAAGCUACAACCUUAUGUAUCAACAAAUUGACAUUAUUGACCCAACAAAUUGAUCAACGAACCAAGUUACCCCAGGGAUAACAGCGCAAUCCACUUUGAGAGCUCUUAUCGACAAGUGGGCUUACGACCUCGAUGUUGGAUCGGGAUAUCCUAGUGGUGCAGCCGCUACUUAAGGUUCGUUUGUUCAACGAUUAAAAUCCCACGUGAUCUGAG
rnacentral:rRNA from 1 species